GUGCCAGCAGCCGCGGUAACACGUAGGGGGCGAGCGUUGUCCGGAUUUAUUGGGCGUAAAGAGCUCGUAGGUGGCUUAGUAAGUCGGGUGUGAAACCUCCAGGCUCAACCUGGAGACGCCACCCGAUACUGCUAUAGCUUGAGUCCGGUAGGGGAGCGUGGAAUUCCUGGUGUAGCGGUGAAAUGCGCAGAUAUCAGGAGGAACACCAGCGGCGAAGGCGGCGCUCUGGGCCGGUACUGACACUGAGGAGCGAAAGCGUGGGGAGCAAACAGGAUUAGAUACCCUGGUAGUCC
rnacentral:rRNA from 1 species